ACGGGAGGCAGCAGUGGGGAAUAUUGGACAAUGGGGGCAACCCUGAUCCAGCGACGCCGCGUGAGUGAAGAAGUAUUUCGGUAUGUAAAGCUCUAUCAGCAGGGAAGAUGAUGACGGUACCUGACUAAGAAGCCCCGGCUAACUACGUGCCAGCAGCCGCGGUAAUACGUAGGGGGCAAGCGUUAUCCGGAUUUACUGGGUGUAAAGGGAGCGUAGGCGGUCAGACAAGUCAGAUGUGAAAGCCCGGGGCUCAACUCCGGGACUGCAUUUGAAACUGUAGGACUAGAGUACUGGAGAGGCAAGCGGAAUUCCUAGUGUAGCGGUGAAAUGCGUAGAUAUUAGGAAGAACACCGGUGGCGAAGGCGGCUUGCUGGACAGAGACUGACGCUGAGGCUCGAAAGCGUGGGGAGCAAACAGGAUUAGAUACCCUGGUA
rnacentral:rRNA from 1 species